AGCAAAAAAGCAGAAAGAGUCAUUGAGGAAAACAGCUGAAAGAUGCUUUUAAAUUAGUCAAAAAGUUAGGGGUAACCUCUUCUGGCAUAUGUCUAUGCGGGCCCGUGUGUAAAUAGAACAUAAAUUACCGGUGUGUGUAAAUAAAGUGUAAAAUAGUGGUAUAAACUGUCUGUUGAAUUUCUCCUGAGUGUUGAAAAAAGGAAAAACUCUUUUCUGCUCUCUCUGAGAGAGGGGCUGUGUGUGUGAGACAGGAAGUGUGCAUGCCCAUAGAAGGAAAGAGAUGAGGUAAACUCUGUGCAGAUAGACCGAAGUAAAAAAAAAAAAAAAAAAAAAAGGAAAAGGGUCUCUCUCUGUCUCUGUGAGAGAAAAAAGGUGGGGGCCGAGUGAGCCCGCGGGGCCGAGCGGGUCCGCGGGAGCGAGCGUGUAUGCUGUAUGAGGAAGAAGGGAGUGAGAGGGAGCGAGUGAAAAGAGUAAUCGAGUAUUUGGUGAUUUUUUUUAUUAUUUCAGAGGCACUGGUGUCUUCAUACAGGUGUUUUUUCUUAACCUGGAAGCCUGAGUACGGCAGCAGAAGACAGGCCAAGCUUUGGCUAAAAUUCACGGCUGGACACCAGAGUUGUCCUCACCCCUCCCGGUAAAACAAAAAAGAGAGAAUGUAGUUUGAGGCGGGUUUUUCUUGCUGAACCGCUCUGGGUGCUGUGUCCCUGAAUCUCACCGGUGUUAACCUCUGGCGGAAGACAUGGAGAAAAGGAAAAGAUGUUCCUGGACAACAACGUAACGUCAAAAGACAAAGACACUGGUCUGAGGAUUAAGUGAGGACACGACAAAUUUAGUGGUUAAAAGGGUC
ensembl:lncRNA